GAUGAACGCUAGCGGCAGGCCUAACACAUGCAAGUCGAGGGGCAGCGCAAAGUAAACUUGUUUAUUUGGCGGCGACCGGCGCACGGGUGCGUAACGCGUAUGCAACCUACCUUGUACAGAGGGAUAGCCCGGAGAAAUUCGGAUUAAUACCUCAUAGCAUUAUAGAUUGGCAUCAAUUUAUACUUAAAGCUUUGGCGGUACAAGAUGGGCAUGCGUCCUAUUAGCUAGUUGGUGAGGUAACGGCUCACCAAAGCGACGAUAGGUAGGGGGCCUGAGAGGGUGGUCCCCCACACUGGUACUGAGACACGGACCAGACUCCUACGGGAGGCAGCAGUGAGGAAUAUUGGUCAAUGGGCGCAAGCCUGAACCAGCCAUGCCGCGUGAAGGAUGAAGGUUCUAUGGAUUGUAAACUUCUUUUAUUUGGGAAUAAACCUCUUUACGUGUAGAGAGCUGAAGGUACCAAAUGAAUAAGCACCGGCUAACUCCGUGCCAGCCGCCGCAGUAACAC
rnacentral:rRNA from 1 species